AGUGAACGCUGGCGGUAGGCCUAACACAUGCAAGUCGAACGGCAGCACAGUAAGCGCUUGCUCUUACCGGUGGCGAGUGACGGACGGGUGAGACAUACAUAGGCAUCUACUUUUUCGUGGGGGAUAACGUAGGGACACUUACGCUAAUACCGCAUACGACCUACGGGUGAAAGCAGGGGAUCUUCGGACCUUGCGCGAUUCAAUGAGCCGAUGUCGGAUUAGCUAGUUGGCGGGGUAAAGGCCCACCAAGGCGACGAUACGUAGCUGAUCCGAGAGGAUGAUCAGCCACACUGGAACUGAGAAACGGUCCAAACUCCUAGGGGAGGCAGCAGUGGGGAAUAUUGGACAAGGGGCGCAAGCCGGAGCCAGCCAUACCGCGUGGGUGAAGAAGGCCUCCGGUUGUUAAAGUCUUUUUGUUGGGAAAGAAAAGCAGCAGGGUAAUUCUGCGCUGUUCGGACGGUACCCAAAGAAUAAGCACCGGCUAACUUCGU
rnacentral:rRNA from 1 species